CCUACGGGUGGCAGCAGUGAGGAAUAUUGGUCAAUGGGCGCGAGCCUGAACCAGCCAAGUAGCGUGAAGGAUGACUGCCCUACGGGUUGUAAACUUCUUUUAUAAAGGAAUAAAGUGAGGCACGUGUGCCUUUUUGUAUGUACUUUAUGAAUAAGGAUCGGCUAACUCCGUGCCAGCAGCCGCGGUAAUACGGAGGAUCCGAGCGUUAUCCGGAUUUAUUGGGUUUAAAGGGAGCGUAGAUGGGUUGUUAAGUCAGUGGUAAAAUCGUGGGGCUCAACCUAGCACCGCCGUUGAAACUGGCAGUCUUGAGUGGGGGAGAGGUAGGCGGAAUGCGUGGUGUAGCGGUGAAAUGCAUAGAUAUCACGCAGAACUCCGAUUGCGAAGGCAGCAUACCGGAGCGCAACUGACGCUGAGGCACGAAAGCGUGGGUAUCGAACAGGAUUAGAUACCCGAGUAGUC
rnacentral:rRNA from 1 species